UACAGAGGUCCCGAGCGUUGUUCGGAUUCACUGGGCGUAAAGGGUGCGUAGGCGGGUCUUUAAGUCCGGGGUGAAAUCCUGGAGCUCAACUCCAGAACUGCCUUUGAUACUGAGGAUCUUGAGUCCGGGAGAGGUGAGUGGAACUGCGAGUGUAGAGGUGAAAUUCGUAGAUAUUCGCAAGAACACCAGUGGCGAAGGCGGCUCACUGGCCCGGUACUGACGCUGAGGCACGAAAGCGUGGGGAGCAAACAGG
rnacentral:rRNA from 1 species